GUCUAUGGCCAUGCCACCCUGAACAAGCUUGAUCCCACCUGAUCUUGGAAGCUAAGCAGGGUCAGACUUGGUUAGUACUUGGAUGGGAGACCACUAGGCAGACCAGGUGCUGUAGGCG
rnacentral:rRNA from 1 species